rnacentral:snRNA from 1 species
AGCUCUGCGCAGUCGCAGUAUCGUAGCCAAUGAGGUUUAUUUGAGGCACGAUUAUUGCUAAUUGAAAAAUUCCUAAGCAGAAUAUCAAGACUCAUCCAUCUCACUCUCAAUAAUAGAGGCCCCCUAACUACUCAGAACCCAAUACACAGAGCAUAAAAUAUCCUCUUUUGGGCUUUAUGAAAGCCAUUCCUGAAUAAUUGUAUUACGUUUCCACCU